UAUAUAUAUAUAUAUAUAUAUAUAUAUGCAUUUACAUACCACUUUAUUGUAAUACCAACACAGAAAGUACCGUAACUUCCGAUCGCUCUGGUAUAGGAGAUACCAGAGAUAGGAGAGAUAGGAGGCUACGUGUCGCCUUGGCCAUUAGAGCUACGGACCAGUCGUCCACCUGCUGCGGAGCAAAGUUCGGACAGACUGACGGCAGUUCAGAACAUUUGAACAGAUACUUUGUUGAUUGUUGCAGUGAAAUAAAAGUGUUUUGGACUGAAACGAAGAGAAAAACCUUUGUCAACAGUGUGCCGUCCGUAGAAGAGAGACAGCGGUGACUGAGCUUGUACAGCGUUGCGCAGCCUCUCUUCUCCCUUCUUCUCCGGCUGAUGUCUUAGAUCAUGAGUAUCCUGGGACCUCCGAUAAGGCAGGCCAAUGGGGUGGCCAGAUCUGACAGCAAGAUUAGCGCCAAGGCUCUAUAUGGUAAGUGUGUGUGUGUGUGUGUGUGUGUGUGUGUGUGUGUGUGUGUGUGUGUGUGAGACACGGACACAGGGGAAUGGGUUUACUACUGACUGUAUGUUAAUAUGUGAUCGACCGGAUCAAAUUUGUCAUAUAUAGCAACAUUUGAAAUGGUUUUUAUUAUUUUUUUUUACAUUGGAUUAAAGUAGAGACUCAGAGCUAUAUAAUGGUAUAUCAUACACUUCAGUUGAGCAACAAUGGGAAAGUAAUUCUGCUUUGAAAGUUUAUCAACUUUUUUUUAAGCCAAUAUUUUUGACACACCUACUGGAGAGCUCUACUUUGUCUACACCCAUUCAGCAUCGUUCACGCCCUCUUAAGCCUUAGCCCAGCCCAUCUCUUUAAGGGUUCACACCCUCUUAAGCCUUAGCCCCGCCCAUCUCUUUAAGGGUUCACAACCUCUUAAGCCUUAGCCCCGCCCAUCUCUUUAAGGGUUCACACCCUCUUAAGCGUUAGCCCCGCCCAUCUCUUUAAGGGUCGAUCUGAAUGUACUAACAACAGCAGUCAAGCAGUCAAGCUAGCUUGCUAGCUACUUCCAGACAUCUAAGUGAGAGAGAAAAGCUCACUGAACAUUACUUUCCUUACCAGAGCUGGUUAGGCUGUUUUCAUGUUAUCCAGAGAGUUGGUGACUGUAACUGUGCUGCCAGAUUGUCCGUUCCAAAUUCAGAGCGUUUUGUUUUCAGACCGGAUGCUCUGGCUGAUGAGUUUACUGACAACGGCCAUAUUCCACAGGUGUUAAGCGAAUUCAUCAGUUAUUCUGCACACUCAGAUGAGAAUGCUCUGAAAUCGGAGUAGAUGACCAGACUGAAUUUACGAAA
rnacentral:lncRNA from 1 species